rnacentral:rRNA from 1 species
AGAGUUUGAUCAUGGCUCAGGACGAACGCUGGCGGCGUGCUUAACACAUGCAAGUCGAGCGGAAAGGCUCCUUCGGGGGUACUCGAGCGGCGAACGGGUGAGUAACACGUGAGUAAUCUGCCCCUGGCUUUGGGAUAGCCACCGGAAACGGUGAUUAAUACCGGAUAUGACCACUUCUCGCAUGGGUUGUGGUGGAAAGUUUUUCGGCCAGGGAUGUGCUCGCGGCCUAUCAGCUUGAUGGUGAGGUAAUGGCUCACCAUGGCUUCGACGGGUAGCCGGCCUGAGAGGGUGACCGGUCACACUGGGACUGAGACACGGCCCAGACUCCUACGGGAGGCAGCAGUGGGGAAUAUUGGACAAUGGGCGGAAGCCUGAUCCAGCAACGCCGCGUGAGGGAUGACGGCCUUCGGGUUGUAAACCUCUUUCACCCAUGACGAAGCGCAAGUGACGGUAGUGGGAGAAGAAGCACCGGCCAACUACGUGCCAGCAGCCGCGGUAAUACGUAGGGUGCGAGCGUUGUCCGGAAUUAUUGGGCGUAAAGGGCUCGUAGGCGGUUUGUCGCGUCGGGAGUGAAAACCAGGUGCUUAACACCUGGCUUGCUUUCGAUACGGGCAGACUAGAGGUAUUCAGGGGAGAACGGAAUUCCUGGUGUAGCGGUGAAAUGCGCAGAUAUCAGGAGGAACACCGGUGGCGAAGGCGGUUCUCUGGGAAUGACCUGACGCUGAGGAGCGAAAGUGUGGGGAGCGAACAGGAUUAGAUA